UGGGGAAUAUUGCACAAUGGGCGCAAGCCUGAUGCAGCCAUGCCGCGUGUGUGAAGAAGGCCUUCGGGUUGUAAAGCACUUUCAGCGAGGAGGAAGGGUAGUGUGUUAAUAGCACAUUGCAUUGACGUUACUCGCAGAAGAAGCACCGGCUAACUCCGUGCCAGCAGCCGCGGUAAUACGGAGGGUGCAGGCGUUAAUCGGAAUUACUGGGCGUAAAGCGCACGCAGGCGGUUUGUUAAGUCAGAUGUGAAAUCCCCGCGCUUAACGUGGGAACUGCAUUUGAAACUGGCAAGCUAGAGUCUUGUAGAGGGGGGUAGAAUUCCAGGUGUAGCGGUGAAAUGCGUAGAGAUCUGGAGGAAUACCGGUGGCGAAGGCGGCCCCCUGGACAAAGACUGACGCUCAGGUGCGAAAGCGUGGGGAGCAAACA
rnacentral:rRNA from 1 species